ensembl:lncRNA
CGUCGAAGGUCGCAUCAAAAAAGUGUUUCAUGCAUUCUUUGCGUGUGCGUCUGAAGAUGUCGUGUGCAAAGUUUGGUGUCGAUUGGUCAAGAAAUGUGGGAGGAGUAGGGAAAAAACAGUUUUGCGGUUUUCGUGAUUUUGCGAAAAAAAAUUAUUGACGCAAAUGGGCGUGGCCUAUGCCAAAAGAUGCAGCAGACUCCAGUGAAUCUGUGCGUGUAAGGUUUUGAAUGUGGGAGGUUCGGUGUGGGAGUUAUAGCCCCAAACGCGUCUUUCCUUGGUAUAGCGCCACCUAGUGGCCGGCGUGUCUGGAUUUUGUCGUCUG